AAUAAAAUUAAUAAUAUUAAAAAAAAAAGAUAAACUGUGAAAAUAUCUCAAAAAUGACUUAUCUGAUGGAAAAUAAUUAGCCAGAUUAAUAUAGAAAAAUUAUUAAACCCAUCUGGCAAAGGGGCCGCUUAAAGCACGAAACAAGGGAUACCUAACAUCUGGAUAUAUAGUACAAAAUUUAAGAAUAUUAUCUUAACAAAAAGAUUAUUAUGUCACGCUAAAAGUGAUUCUCUCAGCAAAUGGUCUAAGGAUUCAAACUAAACAGGAUGGAUAGGUAUCUUAAAUUUUCAAAAUAUUACUAAAGCCAUCAGCGGUAGUUGUCAAGAAUGAGGAA